GUGUAGUCUUUGGUAACUCUCUUCCUUGCUUAUCCAAUUUAAAAAUCAUCUGCAUGUAUUGGUAACUACAAGCUGCUAAAGAGCUUUCAAUGUAUAAAGUUGUCAUUUGUCAAAGGAGAGAGUAGAGCUAACUGGGAGUGAAGGUAGGUGUACUGUCCAAAUUAAGUGGGUAUUGACCUGGACUCGAGUAUUUGAAUUUCAGAUGCUCAUUGUAAUACCAAGGGCAACUGCUGAUAAAACAAUUUAAAAAAUACCAAGAACAAAGAAAUGAACGUCACGCUAGGAAAUAUCUACCUAGCACCCCCCCCAAAAAAGGUAUUCAUGGAGAGACUGAAGAACAAAACUCAUAAGACAUAUGGAAAGCAAGUAGAAAAUGCAAGAUCUGAAUCCCACUUCAUCAAAAGUUACGUUAAACGCAGAAUGAUUAAACAAUCAAAAGGCAGACACAGGCAAAAUGAAAAAUUUAAAUCAUUCAACAGUAUGCUGUCUACCAGAGACAUUUUAAAUUCAAAGACAAGGGAAAUCAUGAAAACAAUUCCACUUGCAAUCACCUCAGAGAAUAUGAAAUAUUGGGGCUGGGACUGUGGCUCAGCGGUAGAGCGCUCGCCUAGCAUGGGCGGGACCCAGGUACGAUCCUCAGCACCCCAUAAAAAUAAAAGUAUUAGUGUUGUGUCCAUCUACACCUAAAAAAUAAAUAUUUUUUAAAGUAUAAAAUAUGUAGGAAUAAGUUCAACAUAAGAAGUGGAAGACUUGUACACCAAACACUGCAAUGUGAGGGCCUGAGUCAAUGGGAAAACAUCCCAUGUUCAUGGAUGCCAAGACUCCUAGGGCUAAGACAGCAGCAUCCUCAACUGAUCUGCAGAGCCCAGGCAGCCUCUAUCAAAAUUCUAGCUGCCUCUUUUCCUAGAAACUGAAGACCCUAUUUUAAAAUUCACAUGGAGGGGCUGGGGCUGUAGCUCAGUGGCAGAGCGCUUGCCUAGCAUGUGUGAGGCGCUGGGUUCGAUCCUCAGCACCACAUAAAACUAAACAAAUAAAAUAAAGACAUACCUUUCAUCCAUCUACAACUACAAAUUUUUUUUAAAAAUUCAUAUGGAAAAGCAAGGGAUCCAAAAAUAGCCAAAACAAUUCUGACGGAGAAGAACAAAGGUGGAUUCCUGAUAAACUCGUGCUCCCAGCCCAGCAGUCCAGAACCCAUGGCACUCACACAGGCACUGAGGUGUGAACCAGGGGACAGACUGGGUGCCAGGAACAGACACCUAGUCAAUUGAUUUUUUAAUGAGAAUGACAGGCGAUUCAAUGGAGGAGAGUAGUUUUUUCAACAGAUGGUGCUGGACGUCCACAUGCAAAAGAACAAACCCAGAGUCAACCGUGUGAACCUUUCUGUUCCUGUAAAGCACGAGGCAGUCCAUUUAUAUAGAGUUUCCCGCCCAGGGUCAGUUAGCCCUGCUGCACUCAGGCCAGUGGGGAGGCAGCGCGUCACGGCAGGAGCACAGGGUGGAGCCAGGAAGUGAGAGAGGGAAAAAGCAAGAGGCCAGGGUCCACUCUCCCCAUGGCAAGAGGCCACGCCCCCAAUGACCUAAAGAUCUCCCACUAGGCCCCACCCCUUAAAGGCACCACCACUUCCCAUCAGGGCCAUGGGCUUGGGACCCCGAUAACACAUAGGCCUUUGGGGGACAUUCCAGAUCCAACUAUCACAAUGUACAAAAUUAACUCAAAAUUGAUUGAAGGCCUAAAUGUGAAAACUAUAAUCAUGAAAGUCUCAGAGGAAAACAGAUGUAAAACUCCAUGAGCUUGGAUCAGGCUCUUGUUUGUUAGGUAACACAUCUAAGGCACAAGGAAGAAUAGGUAGACUGGAUUUCAUUCAAGUUAAAACUUCUGUACAUUAAAAAAAAAAAAGACAAAACUAGGCAGAGAAUAGGAGAAAAUAUUUGUGAGUCAUAGAGCUGAUAAAGAACUACAUCAAACUCUCACUGCUCAAUAUUACUAUUCAACAAUAAAAAGACACCGACAUUUUUGGAAUGGGCCAAAAACUCAAACAGACGUUUCUUCAAAGGGAAACAUAGACGUAUGACUGCUAAGCACAAAAAGAUACUGGGCUUCGUUCAUCAUUAGGGGAAUGCAAUCGUAACCAUGAAUAAGAAUAAUCUCUUCACACAGAAAUCCCUCUAAUUCGGUAAAAUGUAUCUACUAAAAACCUGAAGGGUAAAUAUCAUAUGCAGUAUGUAAUACAGUGGUAAAAAUAUAAUUCAAGUCAAAAAUGAAAUAUGUAUGCCUACUGUAUGGGCUUUUGCAGCAUUUUUCUAGAGAUUCUAGCUAGCAAUCUAAAACCAGGGGAAAAAUCAGAUAAGGAGUUUUCAAAAAAGAAACAAAAGAUAUCGUUGUUGGUGGCUGGAAUAAUUGUUUCCGCCGAAAAUCCAAGAUGAGCUACAAUUAGAACCAGCAAAUACUGAAUAAAGUUUCUGGGCAAAACUCAACAGUGUCCUUCUCUGUCCCCCCAAAUCAGAAAGUGUAACUGAAAGAAAGUUUCCAGUCAUAAAAGCAAGAAAAACUGUAAGUCACUUGGGAAUAAAUCCAAUGAAAGAUGCGAGAGACCUUUAUGGAGAAAAUUAUGAAGUUACCUAAGAAUGUGGAAGACCCGCCCCUCCAAAUGGAGAAAUAUAGCACGUUCACGCUCCACGCUUGGGAAGACUCGGGUUACACAGGCUCAGGGCUCCUCCAGAUGAAUCUAGAAAUUCACUGCAGUUGCAAUUCAAACCUCGGCGGAGCUCCUGGCAGAGCCUGACAACCUGAUUCCAACGUUAAUCUGAAGUGGGUAAGGGCAGGAGGAGCCAAAAUAAAGAACAGCAAGAAAGAACUCUCUCGACCACUUCUAAAGACCCACGACAAAGCCACAAGAUGGCACAUUCGAUCCCCGGUGCCGGAGAAGAGAGAGAAGGAUUCACAUCAUGGGAGGACCAUGAAGAGAGACACGUGGAUCGUGGAGCAGACCAGACACCCAGGCAUUUGUGAGGGUCUUGGGGGGGGGGGCGGUCAAAGGCAGCUGCGUCUCUGUGAAGAGAAAGUGGAGCCUCCAACGGUGUCAGAGAGCUGGCUGGUCCCAGGGGGGAGGUCUUCACUGGAUCCCUACUUCACACCGCACCUAGAGAGACAUUCCUGAUAGAGCAAAACCAAACUUUAAAGCUAUUCUAAGGAAGUUUAGUGGAAUAUCAGGAAAAGUUUCCCUAAACAAAUAGCAAAAGAUACAGAUUAUCAUGGGAAAAAAAAAAAUCUUAAGUCGACCACACGGAGGACUGGAAGUUCUGUGUGCCAACACUGUCGCACGACACAGUUGAAGUACGACCCAUCCGUGAGACGUUGCAGCAGUCAGAGAAUAGAAUUUGGUAUCUAUAGAACUCUCAUAAACUCAAAAGGGAAAGACACCCUCAUCUGGAAGAAGGAACUGGUGUGCAGCCCAGGGGUCAAGCACUUGCAUGUAUAAGGCUCCAGUUUCCGUCCCCAGCACUGCCAGAAAAUAAAAAUAAUUUUAAUUUUUUAAAAAAUAUUUAUUUCUUAGUUGUACACAAUACCUUUAUUUUGUUUAUUUUUGUGUGGUGCUGAGGAUCGAACCCAGGGCCUCACACGUGCUAGGCGAGUACUCGACUGCUGAGCCACAGCCCCAGCCCCUAAUUUUAAUUUUUUAAAAAUCAAAUAAAAGAAAGUACCACAAUUAGACAAUGAAAAUGAUCAACAAAUACAUGUUAAAAAUGAAACUUCACUAAGAAGCUGGAAAACAAUGUUUUUUUUAAACUUAAUUCCAUUUCAUACAGAUCAUAUUGGCCCCCCAAAAAUUCAGUGCCCCAAUGCCCUCCAGCCGGGAUCUUUCAUGCUACUAGAAUUGUGGUUGGGAUGAUCACUCUAGAACACAAUUUGGUGGUAUGCAUUAAAGAUAAGUAGGCACCUGUUCUAGCACUUUCACUGUUAGGUAGAGACCUAGAAAACCCAUGCAAGACAUUGAUUGGGACUGAAAAGAAGAAAACCAGAACAUUCUUCCCUGAGGGGACUGUUGUUCUAACGUGCCAUGCCAGUCUGGUGGAAUAUUACACAGCUGUGAAAAUGGAACCCUUUAUCUGAUUUUUUCCCAGCUUUAGAUGGCUAGCUAGAAUCUCCAGACAUGUGAAUAUCAGCCCACAUGGACUCACAAGGUACCAGGUGAAGAUUUCACACUAGAGAUGGCUAAAUUCAGCUUCUCAUUCCUGCAAGAUGCCUUUAAACACACAAAAGCCACUGUAUAUUGUUCAUAUGUACAAACACAUCUAGAAAAACAAAAGAAAAAUAGAAAAACAUGAGCAGGAAGGAUUUAAAAAAUUCAUGGUCACGAUCGCCUCUGAGGAACGGGGAAGGAGCGUGGUAAUAAGGAAGGGAACGAGGAACCUCAUCAUUAUUCCUUUCUUGCUUUGUUUGUCGAAAUGCUGAGACCAGAAGUCAUUUUAAGAUUUUCUUCUUUUACCAAAGACAGUGAGUCCAGUGGAGCAGACGUCAGCUUUCAUGAACUUGAAGUGGGGAGCAGACGGGACUUUCUUCCUCCUCCCUCCCCCCCUUCCACCUGCCCAUCCAAUAAGAAGACGUAGCGCUGGCCUCUGCUUCCUACAGAUCUGUGAAUACAACAUCUUUUUCCCUUGUAAACGGCCCAGUCUGCAGCGUUCAACUAGAGCAAGGGAGAGCAGGAGAGCAGCCCAAGGUCCUCGGAACCUACACAGUGGUGACGUUGCUCGCUCAGAGUUGAUGAGCAGCCGGGAGCGGGUGAGAGAGUGGGCUGGCUCCUGGGGGGACCGGUGAGCCAGGCUGAGGGUCUCAGACUUCACCCUGCGGGCACCGGGAACUCUGGGUUGACAGCGUCCUUCCCGUGGGACCCUGUGGCCUCCACUUCCUGCACGUCAAGGUUAAGAAAAAGUCCCACCCCACUGAGACGAUUCAGGUAUCUGCCAUUCCCACAGAGGGACCGUCCCUCUUGUCACUCUCCCUUCUUAAAGAGCAGCCACAUCCGUGGGGUGACAACAGACCACUGGGCCCUGAUGGACCAGAUACGAGGGACAGCAGCUCAGGAACGCCUGGAGACCUGGGCACCCAGCCUCACUGCAGCCCCUCAAGCAGAGACAAAGUCCCUGGACCAGGGCAGCUGAGCUGCGAGCCGCACUCCUGCCCUCCAGGGUCUAGGUCCAGCCAGCCCAGGGGCCACCGCGGGUUACCUGGACCCUCCUGCUCACCACACUGGAAGCAGCAAAGGAUACGGCCAGGCUUGUCUUUUAAGGCCUGGACGGUGGCGGGGCAGGACCAUGUGAUGACUCCCGAGAGUCUUGGCCUCUCCCUUCCUGGGCCCCUUCUUCAUGACAAAUAAAGGCGAAUAUAUUAAUGUUA